UGUACAUGAUAUUUUCCCCUGCAAACAUUUAAUUGGGGCAACUUACACUCUUGUAGGCGGGCCGCGCGACAAGCUCUCAAAAAUUGUCCACAUUCUACUUUGCAAAUCUUUCAGGAUAAAUCUUUGGGUUCCGUAAAGCGGCGGCGCGGAAUUUUGCGUUUGCAGGAUGUGGACUGCAGGUCCGAGCAACAGGUGGCGCUGUCACCCUUCGCCGUGAGGUCCACUGAAAGGAAAACCUCGAAGAAAGCUUUCUCUGGAAAAGGCACCGAAAACGUAUUUUGUUUUGCUUUAUUUAUCCAUGUGUUUCAUGUUUUUUAACUGUUCAUUUUCCUAUUCAAAAACAUUUAAUAUUUAUAAAUUGAAAUUAAAAAAAGAUGAUGUUCAAGGAUAUGCGUCUCAUUUUUAUGGUGCAUUUUUUAUGUUAUUAUUUCUACUGCUGUACACUUAUGGAUAAAAUAAAGAAAUGUUUUAAUUUCAUCUAGUAUAAUUAUAUUGUUUUGCGAUGGGUGGAAACCAGUUCGGGUGUACCCGGCCUCUCGCCCAAUGACAGCUGGGAUAGGCUCUGGCACUCCUGUGACCCUUGUGUGGAUAAGCGGCUCAGAAAAACGGUUCCAUAUUCUACGUCAUUGGAUGGUUCGUUGUAUUGCCUUUCAUUAAAAAAAAGGUUCAUCGUGAGCUUUCAGGUGUUCCGGUCACUGACCGCCGACAGGCACCCCUCGCCCUUGGUCCAAGUUGGUACAAACCAGAAAGUGUACGGAAGGGACCGAGCGAUGGAAACAACCAAACUGAGUCACAAGACUGCGAAAUCCAGACCCCCCCCUGUUUGAAAAGAUCGGUCGUCGUGAUAUUCUAACAAACGAUCCGGACUGGAGGAUGAGGAUCGGCUCGCCGGAUCCAAGAGGAUACUGUGGACCACUGCAGCCGCGUGGAGACUGUGGAGUGCAAUACUGCAAGCUCACCGUAAGGGUCGAAGCUAGACUACAGCCUGAAAUGGUCGCCAAUCAGUCCCAAGGUACAUUAUGCAGACACUGAGUGGGAAUUGAACCCUUCACGCCCCCACCAAAGUCAGGGCAGAACCUACAAGCGAAAGACUUUAACCUUAAAAAGAUGAGCCCAAAAAGGAAGAGGAGGAGGCGGCGGCGGCGGCGGGCGGCCAUGCAGGCAGUUAAGCGGGUGGACGGAUGCUGUCAAUCAUCUGACGUCGCUUCGCCUGCACAUCAGUGAGUUUGUGAUUGUCUGUCAUUUGUGGGACUCGGGACACGUUCAAGAGUGAUGGCGCGUUCAGAACUAUGAGAGGCAAGCGGAUUUGGCGUCAUGAUUGAUAUUAAACCAAAACUCAAGCCUGCACACUCCAUGGCUGGAUUCAUAUUACACUUUGGGGUUCAAAUGAAUCAAUACUGACAACGCAAUAUGCAAUGGAUAUCGUCAAUGCGCAUCAAACACACAGAUUGGAUCAUCCCCAGCAAUUCCCUGUUGAAAUAAAGUUAGACAGUAAAGCCUCGUUUUCAAACGCAAAUCGGUACUCGAACGCCCCCAACAAAACUGGAAAUAAUAUAUUGCGCGCGGCCAGACCUGCUGACCCGCCACGUGCUUUAUUUUGAAUUCCCACGCCACCGAAAAAAAACAAACAGGAAAUAACAUAAUGCGUGCGGCGCAAGUACUUGACCCACCCACGACGCGUUUUGUUCUUGUAAAUUCGAAUGCCCCCCGACAGGGGGAAAAAAAAUGGAAAUGACAUAACGUGCGUGGGGCGACCGGCACAUUUUUGUUAUUCUGUAUAACGCAGCCUCUGUACACAGACUUUUCCCGGUAGUGACCGUUGUUUUUCUUCUUAUGGAGGGCGACUGUAUUGACCCCCAAUCAUGACUCCAAAGAAGGCAAGUUUAAAGUUAUUCUGCACUUUUGUGCAUAAAAAAAAAAAAAUUUACAAGGCUGGGGGCCGAGUCGCUCCCGAUACAGCAAUGCACUUCCAGGCUAGCAUACUCUACUACUAAAGCAUACAUUUUAAGCAAAAAAAUAUAUAUAUUUCUUAAAUUAUUUUAUUAUAUAAAGUAUUUAUACUAUACAUGUAUUUCUACUAUGCGGUUUAUUAUCAGGAAAAGCUAAAAAAAAUGCUUUAAAAAGCCCAAUUUUUUGGUAUUGGAACACAUUAUUUCUUUUUCCAUUCAUUGCAAUGGGAAACAUCGAUCCGGUUUUCGAACAAAUCACUUUUUGAACCGUUUUCUGGAACUGAUUGUGGUCAAGAACCGAGGCAUCACGAUAUAUAUUUUAAAAAAUCAACCUUUCAAAAUUCAAACGCAAUAUUUUCAGUCUCCUGAGAUUCACCUGGUUAAAAUUCGCCAUCUGAAAUUCAACGUCUAAAUUCAGUGUCAAACAGGCAGGGUUACUUCAGUUCACAGACAUCAGCAAAGGAUGUCAGAGCCAGCCAAUCCAGUUAUACGCUUUGUUUCCUGUUUCUACCAUGCUUUAAAAAGCCAUUUUUUUUUUUUUAGGCUUGGAACGCAUUAUUUCUUUCUCCAGUCAUUGUAAUGGGAAGCAUCGAUUCGGUUUUCGAACAAAUCUCUUCUCCAACCGUUUUCUGGAACGGAUUGAGGUCGAGAACCGAGGCGUCACCGUAUUUAGCUUUGUACUGUUGUGCAAUCCAUGCAUCCUUCCAUCAUUUUUUCCAUGCCGCUUCACCACGGGGAGAACAUGCAAUACAUCAAACAUUUGCAUGUACUUAUUAUGAGUUUUUUUUGUUGUUCUUGGUGACGGGCGGCGGCACCACAAUGUGGGGAGGAGUACACUAAUUUUGAAAAAAAAAACAAAAAACUUGUUUCUUUAUAUGGGAAGGUAUCGCUCCGAGAAUCGGGAUGAAAUCCUAAUCGGGCCCCUGGGUGUGUAGUGUAAAUCCAGUCAAAGAUCCAAAACAUGAGCAAUGUCAAAAUAUUGCAAUCAGAAAAGGGGAACAAAAACAGGCGUGAUUUUUUUGACACAACCCUUGUGUUGGUUUUUCGCAGCAGGCCACGUUAACUCAAUUAGAGGCAAAAAAAAAACAAAACAGCGACAAGCAUCAGCAGCAGUAGCGGCGGCUUUCGGCUUUCGGCUUUUCGAAGGCCCCUCAGCAGCCCCCGAGCGACGGGAGGACGCCUGCCUGGCUGGCUGGCUGGGCGG